GUAAUCACAGCCCAUCUAUCAAAUGUUAUUCAUCUCUUAAAGACAUACAUAUGCCAUGGAGCGAAUUGAUCCAUUGCUCUUGAUCUAAUGUAAACAUUUUAAAGGCAGUGUGUGAGCAGAAGCAUGGACUAGGCAUGCACUGCUAAGAUAUAGACUUGGUGUAGACAGUCAUGUAAUGAUAAUUUUGCUUUUCACCUCCACUGAAAACCACAGAUGAAGAAACUUUUGAAUCUGAGGAACUCGCAGAAGCUAAAGAGGAAUUUGUCGGCGAUGGGCAGCAGUUUUUUAUCGCUGGCUUCCGCCGCAGCAUGCGCCUGUGUCGCAGGAAGUCUCACUUCAGCCAGCUGCAUGCCAACAUGCGUUGCACCUGCAGCUGUUACAGUGCUGUGGGUGCCCCUUACGAGGAGGUAGUGAGGUA
rnacentral:lncRNA from 1 species